rnacentral:sRNA from 1 species
AAUUUGAAUUCGAUGAGGACAGCCUCAAAUCCUUUCAAACCAUCAAGGAUGCUUUGGUAUCUGCUCCGGUUGUUCGAGCGCCAAAUUGGGACUAUCCAUUUGAGAUCAUGUGUGAUGCAUCAGAUUACGCAAUAGGAGCUGUUUUAGGCCAGAAAAUAGACAAGAAGCUUCAUGUCAUAUAUUACGCCAGCCGAACGUUGGAUGACGCUCAGGGAAGAUAUGCAACAACUGAGAAGGAGCUUCUAGCUGUUGUAUUUGCAUUUGAGAAGUUCAGAAGCUAUUUGGUUGGAUCAAAGGUAACUGUCUAUACAGACCUUUGAGGCAUCUGUAUGCCAAGAAGGAUACUAAACCAAGACUGUUGAGAUGGAUACUUUUAUUGCAAGAGUUUGACAUGGAGAUAGUAGAUAAGAAAGGCAUUGAAAAUGGUGCAGCUGACCAUCUGUCAAGGAUGAGAAUUGAAAAACCCCUUCCCAUAGACGAUUCAAUGCCACAAGAGCAGCUCAUGGUUGUAGAGUUCUUCGGAAGGAGCUACAGUGGGAAAGAGUUCCACCAACUGAAUGCUGUUGAAGGAGAAUCUCCAUGGUAUGCUGAUCAUAUCAAUUACUUGGCGUGCAGAGUAGAGCCUCCCAACCUGACAAGUUAUGAAAGGAAGAAGUUUUUCAGAGACAUACACCAUUACUACUAGGAUGAGCCUUAUCUUUACACUCUCUGUAAAGAUAAGAUCUACAGGAGAUGUGUCUUAGAAGAUGAAGUGGAAGGUAUCCUGCUGCAUUGCCAUGGCUCAGCAUAUGGUGGUCACUUCGCGACGUUCAAGACAGUGUCCAAGAUUCUUCAAGCAGGCUUUUGGUGGCCAACAAUGUUUAAGGACGCUCAGGAGUUUGUUUUAAAGUGUGAUUCAUGCCAGAGAAAAGGCAACAUCAGCAGAAGAAAUGAGAUCUUUGAUGUAUGGGAUUGAUUUUAUGGGUCCAUUCUCAUCUUCAUACGGUAAUAAAUAUAUACUGGUCGCCGUAAACUACGUAUCAAAAUGGGUCGAAGCUAUUGCUAGUCCUACCAACGAUGCAAAAGUUGUGCUGAAGCUGUUCAAGACCAUAAUCUUCCCAAGAUUUGGAGUUCCCAGGGUAGUAAUCAGUGAUGGCGGGAAGUAUUUCAUCAACAAGGUUUUUGAGAACCUCUUGAAGAAGCAUGGAGUAAAGCACAAGGUCGCCACUCCCUAUCAUCCACAGACAAGCGGGCAGGUUGAGAUCUCCAAUAGGGAGAUAAAAACAAUUCUGGAAAAGACUGUUGGGAUUACAAGGAAAGACUGGUCUGCAAAGCUAGAUGAUGCAUUAUGGGCUUACUGAACAGCCUUCAAGACCCCCAUUGGUACAACUCCUUUCAAUCUUCUCUAUGGAAAAUCAUGUCACCUACCUGUAGAGCUCGAGUACAAGGCAAUGUGGGCGGUAAAACUUCUGAACUUUGACAUAAAAACUGCUGAGGAGAAGUGAUUAAUCCAACUCAGUGACCUCGAUGAGAUCCGUCUAGAAGCUUAUGAGAGCUCUAAAAUCUACAAGGAGAGAACCAAGCUUUUCCAUGACAAGAAGAUCAUCACUAAGGAUUUCCAGGCUGGAGAUCAGGUGCUGCUGUUCAACUCUCGCUUGAAACUCUUUCCAGGAAAACUCAAAUCCAGAUGGUCUGGCCCCUUCUGUAUGACUAAGGUCCGUCUUUAUGGAGCAGUCACUCUAGCUGGUAAAAGUAGAGACUUCACAGUAAAUGGUCAAAGACUCAAGAAAUACUUAACAGAUCAAAUCCUUCCAGAGGUGACAUCGGUUCAUCUCCAGGAACUUCUUGAUGAUUAAAGGAGUAAAGGAGUCAAGCUUAUGACUUUAAACAAGCUCACUUGGGAGGAAGUCCCAUGACUAUCUCUGUAAAUAUUUUUUUUUAUUUUCUUGUUAUUUUUGAUUUGUCUUGGUUGUGUUUGUGAUUCUCAGGAACGAAGGAACAAUGUGGAGAUAGAGUAAAAAUUCAAAACUUUUACUAUAUAGAAGACCUGGAGAUCGAGUGUAUAACCCGUUGGAGUACAAAAUUUUGAAAAUCUUCUAUUGCACCUAGUGACCUUACACUCGAGUACGUUGGUCGAGUAUGUGUGAUGUUUAAAACGCAAAAAACUUUUAAAUCAUCAUUUUACUUGACCCACAAAAGCUACAGAGACUUGUAGGGAUUUCCUGCAGUCUAAAGUGGGUUUUCUGCAAAAUUUUCCCAGUCAACAGAGUGUGGACCACGCACUGAGGAUAAGAUGGAGAGAGAAUCUCAAACUCAAUCUCAGCCAUUCCUUUUUACAUUUCACUCGACCUUGCUAUCUUCUGUUAUCCACCACUCGAUCAAAACAAAUUACUCGACCUAAUAAUCCUUAGCCACUCUCGACCUCCGCCGCUUCAGCAGAAUUCAAGGAACCACUCGACCAAUCGAUCUACUUGACCCCCGGGAAUCACUCGACCUCCGCCGCCGUCAUCAUUUCGUUCUAUCCGUCACUCGACUAGACUAGAUCAAUCGAUUCCUUUUGGCUAUAGUCGACCAAUUCACCCGUCUCUUUCAAAAGAAGCUACUCGACCUCGUUACCCAGUCUCCUAGCCGCACUCGACCGACGCCGCCUCAGCCGAUUUCAACAAUUGACUCCACCGCCGUGAAUCACUCGACCUUUCCAGCCGAGUACUCCUCCUCGUUCUCCGUCGAAUUCUCAGGGUUCAAGAUUUCACUCGACCUCGAGUUUUAACUCGACCUCUACAACUGCAACUCGACUUCUUGAAAUCAACAGAGCCCUGAAGCACUGUAAUAGAGGUUACUCGACCUGAAGACUUCACCGGCAGAACUCGACAUCCACAACUCACUCGACCUCCAGGAACAGCUCAGGUUACUCGAGUACAGAAUUGUACUCGAUCAAUUCAAUCUAUUUCAUUGCCUAUUGAUAACAAUUUUGGUUUCAUUGCUAUCUUUGAGACUAACCUAUUGACAUUUGAGCUUUGAGUUCUAAAUUUCUACCGGAGAAUCAUGAGGAAUUACAGUGGCAGUUCUUCUGGUUAUCCUGACUACAACAUGGAUGAGACAGAGUCGUCAUCUUCAAGGCCAGAGAGAGAACAGAGAGAAUAUGAAAGCUUCAGAAGGAAAGCUGAGAUAGCCCGAGGGAAGAGAGCGAUGACAUAGAGGUAUGAGCUUAUAGACGAAGAUCUGGAAGACGAGUACAUGCCUGAACAGACUAGCAGAGCUACCAAACUUCUGCACAAGCCAAACGUAUUGCCUGCUGAGGAAUAUGUUAGGCUUUUCUAGCUGAAUGAGUUAUGUAGCACGAGGUAUCCUUGCUCGACCUCACUUGCACAACUCGGUUUAUUGGAAGAUGUUUAGCACCUGUACCAAAGUUGUCAUCUGGACACUCUAAUGGCUUAUUCGUAUGUAGCGUAUGAAGAUGAGACAAUACAAUUCCUCUCCAUGCUGCAAGUAGAGCUCUACCAAGGUAUGACCUCUGAAGAGUUGGAUUGUGAAGGAUUGGGAUUCUUGCGAUUCUCUGAGUAUGGUCAUGAGUAUAGGUUAUCAAUCAAGCGCUUGGAAGGAUUGUUUGGCUUCCCCAGUGGAACGGGAUCUAAGCCCAAGUAUGAUAGAGAAGAGUUGAAAGACUUGUGGAUCACCAUUGGCAGCUCUGUACCGCUGAAUUCUUCCAGGUCAAAGAGCAAUCAUAUACGCAGCCCUGUCAUCAGGUACUUCCAGCGUUCUAUAGCCAAUGUACUCUAGUCCCAAGAGAUCACAGGGACUGUUACUAACUCUGAUAUGGAGUUGAUCGCAAUGGCCCUCAAGGUAACUCUUCGCCAAACUAAGAAUGGCAUGUCUCUCCAAGGUGAAAUCAAUGACACACCUCUCUCUGUACUUCUUCUGAUCCAUCUGUGUGGAUACAAGAGCAGGGCUGUCAGCAAUAACCACAAGAGAGCACGAGGUGCUCUGUGCAUAGGUGGUGUUGUGACACCGAUUCUGAUAGCUUGUGGAGUCCCAAUCAUUUCUGCUGGACUCGAGCCGCGAGCAAUGGAUAUCGAGCCCCUACGUCACUGCGAAUUCCUGGAGUUUGCAAUGGUUGACGACUUCCAAAGGUUCAGGUUUGAGCACUCUACAGACAGGAGAGCUAGCAUCCUUCUCCCUAGCCCUGAGGUUACACGGAUAAUAGAGGGUGAUAACAUUGAUUUUCGGCCUGAGGUUGGACGCCUCUACUAUGAGAACGCUCCGCCAUUGGAUGAUGAUGAUCUUCGAGAAGAAGUUGCUUCGGAUGGGAUGGAUGAAGAUAGAGGAGUGGAGUUCGACACUAGCAUGUAUCACUUUGGUGAAUAUGUACCUCCAGCGAGGCAGAGCAAGAGCUUGACUGAAGCUCAUAAGAACAACAGUAAAUUGCAGAAGUGGUGCAAGAAGCAGGACAAGCUGCUCGCCAAGUGUUUCAAGGCUAUCAAGCUUCUGACAGAUAAGCUGAGUUGUUCCUCCUGCACCACUGCUAUUCCACAGAAACAGCCUCCUCUGGAGAUGCCAUCGAGGAGAUUUGAUGAGCCUGCGCACAGGCCUGAGCUUAGCGAGUAGAGAGUCUCACAUGUCCCGGCUAGGCAUUAGUCAUUCGAGUCCCGGGAGCACAAGAGAAGAAGGAAGGCUACACUCACUCGAUCUAGCAGCAGAUCAUGCCUCAUUCACUCGAGGAGAUCACUCGACCGCGGUGCUGGCCGCAGCAGAAGGAGAGAGGUCGAGUAUCCUCAGAGCGGUGCUGGCCGCCACAGAGCUGAUGAGGUCGAGUACCCACCUGCUGGAGCUGAUACAGAACAAGGUGGUUCAUCUAUGGCCUGGGAGCAAUCACAUGCAGCCAUUGACGAGCAACUACGUUCAUUCUUCGACUGAGGUAAGUGCCACACUUCACCAAUGUAUUAUAUCAUCUGUUGUGAUUUGUUUUUAUUUCAUUUUGUUUCUAUGAUUGGAUUUGUCCUGAGUACUCUCUUUCAAGUUUAUUCGCACAGUGGACUGUGUGAUUUAAGUUUGGGGGAGGGCUCAGGAAGUGUGUGUUGCAUUGUAUAUAUUCUUGAGUCUGCAUUCAUCUAAGGCAUAGAAAAACCAAAAAGAUUUGAAAAAUUUCAGAAAAUGAUUUCACAAAAAAAAAAAAGAGUGUUCAUGUAGUUGCAUUACAUUUAGGAUCGAGUCUAGAGUGUUUCAUUUAGGAUUGUUGCAUAUGCAUAGGGGAUGAUGAUGAGAUAGCCUUGUAAGCAUUUUGAUGGGAUUACCAUUAGAGCUUCAUUUGAUGUACUCUGGGUAGAUGGGAUCUUAUCUCUAUAUGCAUAGCUUGGGACUUACCUUUAGCAUUCUACUAAAGCUUAAUCAUUUUUUGAGAGAUCCCCUGUUACUGAAGCCUAUUCUGUAAGGGACCAUCUUUGUCUCUUGACCUUUUACCUUAGUCAAAUGAGUUCUUUGAUGAUGCAUUGCUUGAUUCACGUUCCAGAACUAAUGAAUGUUAAAGGGAUUGGUAGAUUUGAAAACUUGUGUAGGUCGAGCAUAUGAGUCGGAUUGAUUGAUGAUGAGGCAUGGCUAACGUUUUUAAGAAGAAUUCGGUCUUGCAGCUUAGAACUUUCAACUUGGACAUUGAUUUCAUCUGGUUUAUCUGGUGCUUUGGCUCUGAGUCCCCGCUUUCAAACCUCACCUCCAGCUUGUUCUUGAUUGUUUGCUUGAGGGCAAGCAAAGACUAAGUUUGGGGGAGUUGAUAAGUGUGUAUUUUGCAUGUUUUGAGCAUCCAUUUGUCAUCAUUUUAGCAUCAUAUCAUCACUGUUUCAUACCAUUUCUCAUCAUUUGUCAUCACUUUACAUGUUUAGGAUAGAUUUGCAUGCAUGUUGCAUAUUUGCGUUGAUUUAAGGUAAUUUAGAGCUGUUGACGAGCUAUCUGGAAGAAGCGGGCAUGAUCAUGUUAAACCACUCGACCCCGCGGUCGAGUAGAGGACAUCACUACUUCACCACAUCACUCGACCCCGAGGUCGAGUGUCUUCAUCCCAUCACCUGACAAUCACUCGAUCACAUCACUCAACCCCGAGGUCGAGUGUCUUCACCUUCAUUGCCAGACCACUACUCGACCUCUUCACUCUACCUGGAAGUCGAGUAUCACCAUCACCACCACUCGACUGCAUACUCGAUGACAAGCUUCAGACCCUUCUUCAUUCCGCACUCAACCAGACACUCGAGCACAAGGAAGAAAAAAAGACUCCAGCUAUUCACUCGACCUCCCACUCGACCACAUGGGUCGAGUACAGUUCUUAAUCUGUCCCAAUACUUCGUCGUUUUAAGUAUUAGGGUUUCAGAAUAUUUGGCUAUAAGUAGCAUGUACUUCACAUUUUCGCAAACAAGUUUUUAUCUAAUUUUAUUCCGCAGACCUUGUGUUCUAGACCUUUUGUAAUCCGGAUUUCUCUAUAUCUAUUCAGUAUUUAGUAUUCAGCUUUUGUUCUUGAUUUCGUUUACUGUUGUUCAUUCUGUUAUCAUCCUGCUGUUACACUGUUGUUAUCAUGUUUUCAACUUGUUCAACGUUUAUGCUUUCUGUUAUGAUGUCUAAGUAGUGAACAGGUUUCUGAGGAUGGGUUAGAGUAAUGUAGAAUUCUAAGUAUGCUAGGUGAUUGAGUAUUGAUUGAUAGAUCCUUUCUGGAUUAGUUGUUCUUAAUGCCUAUUGCUUUCUGAUCAACUGGAAUUUGAGCCCAGACAUUUCUGCGCUUAAAAGGUGUUCGAUGAAAUGUCUGAACCACUAAUUCCAGAGUUUCGUGAUCCUGUACCAAGGUAUUGGUUCCAGGGAGCGUUUUGGCUUUAACUUGUUGAUUCGUAAUGCCUGUUAGGUUAGCUCUCGUCAAUGGUGAUUGAGUCUAGGACUAGGUUAACUUGAGGGUCUCUGUUGCGGUGGCACUUAGAUUUGGUUAAUGAACUUGUUGUCGAGGGUUAAUUUAUUGAGCAUGUCAAUCACUUGUAAACUGAGAAAACGAAACUACUCAAUUACCCCAUCCUCGGGAAUUCUUUAUCUGAUUGAAUUCUAUGUUUACUUUACUGUUGUUUACUGUAUCUUGUUAACUGUCGUUUAAUUUCUGCAGUUCUUUCUUGUUACUCGACCUCAUACUCGACCACCCAGUUGUUUGGAAACAGACUGUGCAGUCGAGUAUCUGUGUUAUACUUUCUGUUUGAUUUUCUGUUUUCUGCAUGAUCACUUAGGACUGCUAGAACACACCAAAACCUGUUAUUGCUUGGCUUGACUUAGUGACUUCUGAUCACAUCUUGAUUGUUAGCAUCACACCUAUUUGGAUUGACAACCUAAAAUACUACAACGACAUGAUUGGUGUUUUAGGAUAAUUGACUAAAAACUUAUUAUCAUAUAUAUUCCCCCCUUGCUCUUUCACCCAAAUCUUCAUAUUCUCCUGGAUUCUCAACUGCUUUGUGUUCAUCUAAAAGCUUCUGGUACCCCAAAGUCUCCAAAUGUAAAUCUCCUUCUUUGCUAUCCUUUGUUAAAGCACUCUGUAGAUGAUCUGUUUCUCCUAGCUCUUCUAGCAUUUUGUCAGCGAACAUAUCCAUCUCUUCAAUCCAGAAAACAUUUCCUUCUAUUGUAGGCUUCUUCAUGGUAUUAGUGAUAUCGAAGGUCAUCUUGAGAUCUCUCCCGAGGUUAAGAUCAAUCUUUCCCUUCUUAACAUCAAUGAUAGCUCCAGCUGUAGCUAAAAAUGGUCUUCCCAGUAUCAAAGGGUCUUUGGGUUUUUCAUCCAUUUCUAAAACCACAAAGUCUGUAGGUACUUCGACCACACCUAUCAUGACUGGUAAGUCUUGCAGCAGACCAUGGAGAAUUCUAACAGAUCUGUCAGCUAGGAUCAAGGAUAUAUUGCAGGGUUUGUACUUGUUGAAGCCCAGUUUCUUUGCCACAGAGAGGGGCAUGAGACUCAUAGAUGCACCUAGAUCACAGAGGCACUUGCUGAAGGCUAAAGGACCAAGAGCGCAAGGCAAGGUGAACGAACCAGGAUCUCCUAAUUUUUUUGGAAUGAUCUUCUGCUGAAUGAUCGCACUACAUUCGUGACUUAGCACCACCAUUCCUUGGACUUCUUUGAUCCUC